rnacentral:lncRNA from 1 species
AUGGGAAAUGUAGUGCAGUUUUUCUCCAACAUGGCGGCGCCAGGUAUUGUCAUGAACAGCAACCACCAAAGUAAUUACAAGCUCAGUAAAACUGAGAAGAAACUCUUAAGGAAACAAAUUAAAGCCAGGCAUACUUUGCUGAGACAUGAAGGCAUUGAGACAGUAUCUUAUGCUACUCAGAGUCUGAUUGUUGCCAAUGGUGGUUUGGGUAAUCAAGUGAGUAGGAACCAACUGCUCCCAGUUUUAGAGAAAUGUGGAUUGGUGGAUGCUCUCUUAAUGCCACCUAAUAAACCCUACUCAUGUGUAAGAUACAAAACUGUAGAAGAAUCCAAGAAAGCCUAUGAUACGCUCAAUGGCAAAGAAAUAGUGGAUGAUUUAGGACAAAAGAUCAUCCUGUACUUGAAUUUUGUGGAAAAAGCACAGUGGAAAGAGUUGGGGCUUCAAGCCUUGCCUCCAGGUCUCAAAGUAAUAGAAGAAAUUAUUUCUUCUGAGGAUGAGAAAAUGCUUUUGGAGAGUGUUAACUGGACAGAAGAUACAGACAAUCAAAAUUUUCAAAAAUCCUUGAAACACAGAAGAGUAAAGCAUUUUGGCUAUGAAUUCCACUAUGAGAACAACAAUGUAGAUAAAGAUAAACCGUUACCUGGGGGUCUUCCUGACAUUUGUGAGAGCAUUUUAGAGAAAUGGUUGAAGGAAGGAUUCAUUAAACAUAAACCUGAUCAAUUGACUAUAAACCAGUAUGAACCUGGGCAUGGAAUUCCUGCUCAUAUUGACACACAUUCUGCUUUUGAGGAUGAGAUCAUUUCUCUCAGUUUGGGAUCAGAGAUUGUCAUGGAUUUUAAGCACCCAGAUGGUAUGACAGUGCCAGUUAUGCUGCCCUGUCGGAGUUUGCUGGUGAUGACAGGAGAAUCUAGAUACCUUUGGACCCAUGGAAUCACACCCAGAAAAUUUGAUACUGUUCAAGCAUCCAAGGGUCACAAAAGUGGAAUUAUCACCAGUGAUGUUGAAGACUUAACUUUAAACAAGAGGGGGAUACGGACAUCAUUUACGUUUAGGAAAGUGAGGCAAACACCUUGUAAUUGUAGUUACCCUUUGGUCUGUGAUAGCCAGAUGAAGGAGACUCCUGCAUCAUUUCCAGAGAGUGAUAAAGAAGCCUUACAACUAGAGCAAGAUUAUGUCCAUCGGGUUUAUGAAGAAAUUGCUAGGCACUUCAGCAGCACGAGACACACCCCUUGGCCACAUAUAGUAGAGUUUUUGAAAGCUUUGCCGAGUGGUUCAUUAGUUGCUGAUAUUGGAUGUGGAAAUGGAAAGUAUCUUGGCAUCAAUAAGGAGUUAUAUAUGAUUGGCUGUGAUCAUAGCCAAAAUCUUGUGGACAUUUGUAGAGAGAGGCAAUAUCAGGCCUUUGUCUGUGAUGCUUUGGCAGUACCAAUCCGCAGUGGAUCUUGUGAUGCUUGCAUUUCCAUUGCUGUUAUUCACCAUUUUGCUACAGUAAGCUUCCCAAUGGAUGUGGCUGAUGAAGGGGACACCCCGUCCACCUCCCCGAGGGAGGGGUUGGACCACCACCCCCGUGCCCUUGAGACCCAGUGCAGACUCCAGGUGAGCAUGCCCAUGGAGGGGUCAGCCCAACUGGGAAUGAAGAGGAAGCAGGGAAGGCCUGUGGCCCAGACACCACCCAGGACACACCCCGGGGUCCAGUCCCAGGCUGCCAUGGAGCUCAGCACAUCCGGCUCCAACCCAGAGCUCCAAGAACCCCUGCCUCUGAGGCAGCAGGAGGACCUGGAGCCCAGCACGGCAGAGCACAGAGCUCUAGCUGUGACCUUCAAAUUCAACCAGGCUCCACUUCCAAGACCUGUUCCUAUAGAGGUGCUUGCUCCAGGUGCAGGACCCAGGGAUCCACUGAGGGGAGAUCGAGACCUGAGAUUUCCCCUCCCAAAGACACCGGGCCAGCUGGGUACUGGCCAGCAUCCUAAGAAGAUCGGAUCUCUGUGCCCGCAGGACCCCCAGCCCCAGGCACCGAUGUCCCACCCCCUCAGCGAGAACCUCCACUGCACCUGCACCUGCACCAGCGUGGGCUUUGGCAGGAGAACCCGAGUCAGGGGAUGA